GCCAUUUUCAGCUAGGGUUUGAGAAAAGCCUAGAGCUGCCACUAAAAUCCCUCUAUCUCUUCGUCAUCCUCCAUCCAAAUUUGGCAAGUUUUAGAGCCACCAGGCUUUUACCAGGCCUGGUAUGGCUAUUUGAGGCAAUGCAUUCAAUGAUACCGUCCUAUCUCCACCACAGUUGGAUCAAAACAAGACCUGGUUUGGGAAGCACAAAGGCUCCAAGUCCAUUCUCGAUAUUCGGCUGCACUUCAAAAAGGUAAUUUUUAUCUUGUUAUUAAUUUUCCUUUACUUCUUGAUUAGAUUAGUUCUUGAUUAAUUUAGAUGCUUUAGUAGUGUUUGGUUAGUUGUUAACUGUUCAUAUUAGUUAUGUGCUUGUAUGUAUUUAUAUUUCCUUGAUUGUGAUUAGAUGUCUUAGUGUAACCAUGUGGAGACAUUGUUUAGCAAAUAUUGAUUUUAGUUUCUUACGUCUGAUUAUGUGGAGUAGAUUAUGCAUGAGGGUUCAAUGAAUUCUAGUUUAAGUUUGACACUGUUAAUGGUUAGUUCUAUCCUGUUGAGUCUUGUUUUUUGUCAAAAAUUGAGUUUAGCUUUCAUAUCUAGUUAUCUAAAGUAAGAUUUAGUAGAUUCUAGUUUAUGAUUGAUACUAAAAAUGCUAAUUUUAAAUUGAUUCUGAUUGGUAAAGGUAUGACAAUGGUCUGUUAACUAGUAAAUUUGAAUGAUAGUAAUUAUGAUGAUGUUUUUCUUUGAGUUUGAACCUCAAUGUAACCACCUAGGAUUAAGUGCAAAUUUCAAGAAGGGUUUGACAAGUACAAUAGACUAAUAAGGUGAACUUAUGUGAAAAAAAUGACUAACUCCCCUUUGCUAGACUUGACAAAUGAGUGAAAUGGCCUUAAGGGACCUGUUCUAAAUCUGUUACCACACAAUUUAUUUAUUUUGAAGAAGUCAGUCCCAAAAUUAGGUGAGGCUAAGGGUAUUAAAAUGUCUGGUUGGAAUAGGUGUUCAAUAAUAAGGUGACAUGCCUAAUAAAUAGAUAGAACUAGGCUUGUUCUAGCUUGGUAUUGUUGAUCUGAUCUUGAGAAGUUUUAGUGUGGUUAGUAUGGUUUUCUAAAACUGUCUCACUUUUAGUUUAAUGGGUCUAAUGAUAGUAUGAGGGGUUCAUGUAUAUGAAUGAGCAUUUUAUAAGCCACUUGACAUGGGAAUUCUUUUUAAAGACACUAUGGAGAGAAAGAGAUCUGGAAAGAAUCAAGUAUAACUUGAUUCAAGUAAUGCUUUAUCUAAAAAAAAAAAGUUUGUCAUGACAGGCCCUGCAAAUUCAUAGGGUGAAACUUACUACACUCAUGCACUAACCUGAUUCUUUCUCUAAUUAGAACAAGGGAUUUGGUCCAAGAAGUGAAUCUGUUUCCCUUAAGAUGGUUUUCAAAUGAUUUUUUUUUCCAAUAAGGUUGGUCCUAAUUCACUUAUAGUGUCUGAUCUCCAAAAACAUGGAAAAAUGGUAGUAAGAGUCUUAUGCAGAUUUAACCUCAGUUCAACAUAGGUCUGUGGGUUGAUUCAAGGUCUUCUCCUGUUGUUCAUGUCAUGGCGUUAUGUCUUUACAUAGCAAAAAAGGGUAUUGAGCGCCCCUGUUGGUAGCUGAAUGUCUGAAUAUAUGUUAUGAUACCUAUUUGAGCUUGUGUUCACCUGUUUAGCCUUAUUAUAUGACAUAGUUGUUGUUGUGGUAACUCGCAUCAAGCUUAGGGACCUGUUUGACUCAUUUGAGAUUGUAUAUUCACACUAUGCAAUUCUGAAGUAUGUUGGGCAUCCUGUUGGUUAUGUUGGAGUCUAAAUUAGGACUUAGGUCUUGUUUGGCAUCAGGGUGAUAAAUGUGAAUUGAUUAGGUGGUUAAUAGAGUCUAAGGCUUAAAGGAAACUUGGAAAAAACUUGGAGUUGCUUGCAACCCAACUCCGUACAGUCAACUUAAGUUAAUGACUGAUAAUGCUAAUUGAACCAUAGGAAUAAGGUGAUACUUGGAGGGAUUAGAGUUGUUUUGACCCAGCCUAAUGUAAUUUAAUCAGGAUAAUAAAAAGAGUUUGAAUUAGAUUAGUUGAAAUAGGCGGGUUAGUUAAUUACUUAAAUUUUAAAAAAUAAGGGCGUACACAUGAUAUAUACAUGAGCUUUACAUGACUUAGUCUUUUAUGUAGGUAAUAAUUGGUUUUAUCAGAUGUAUACCAGGUAUACACAUCUGAUAUGCAUGUCAAAUGUACAUCAGAUGGUAUAUCAUAUGCAUGUGAGUGUAUAUAAAGUUAAAAUCAAAUAGGAUUCUUAUGGGCCUUAACAUAUGGAAUCUGUCAGCGUGAGUAUAAUGUCCAGACUUCCAAAUGGAUAUAGAAAGGCCUAUUCAGCCUUGGGCUAAUACCAGGGGAUAAGGGCUUGUUUCCUCAGCCUGAGUAGGAGUUUAAGAUAUGCGUAUGUGAUUGGGCUUGCUAGGCCCAUUUCCUGGAUUCGAUUUGCCACUGUCUCAAUCUGAUACUUUUAUAUAGGUAUGAUAUACAUGUAUAUAUGCUUGCCUUAGUUCAUUUUUAUAAAGAUAAGUACAACAAAAUAUUUCUAACCUUUUUCCCCUUUUCUCCUUCUCUUCACCUUCCCUGGCCACUUGCUACACUCAUCCCGGAGAUAUAGCAAAGCAUAGAAGGCCUAACCAUGGGUAAAAAUAGUUAACUAGGGGCUUCGUACGCCCCUAGCCUAACCUCCUCUUUAAUUUUCUGCAUUUUUUCACUUGUAAAUGUACUUGUUGUAUUUGAUUGAUUGUAAAAACACAUUAUAUUAUUGAAACCCUUUAUGGUAUGAA